rnacentral:misc_RNA from 1 species
UAGUCGUACCUUGGAACAAGAAAGGGGGCACCGUUACACGCACACCUGCACAUACACACAUAAACACACACACACACACACACAGAGGGAGAGAGAGAGAGGUAUCCCAUUUCGGGACUGCAGGCACCGUGUGGCGCCUUGCCCAUCCUUGAGGCCCUUUCUCCACCUCCCUCCUCCUUUCUCCCUCCUUCGGCUGUGAUCGCUGUAAUUUCCGUCUGUUUUGCUGCUGAGAAACACGCUUCUCGCUCUGCUUGCUCGCUUUACGUUUUGCUUGUGUGCCUGUGUGCACGCGAGGAAGGCGCUGGCGAUCUGUCUCUUGUGUGUUUCUGUUUUCUUGUGUCCAUCACCAGGUUUGUUUUCUCUCGCGCAUCCGCGGAUGUUCGCUUCGCCACCACACCUCAUCGUCAUUCAUCCUUGAUCGUUUAUAUCCUCUGUAUUAUUGUUUUCCUCCCAUCUCUCUCUCUUUCUCGCCGUGUGCGCGCCACCGUGAACAGGCACCAUGAGUGGGUCGCCGUUGAACUCGUCACUGCAGCCGGCUCUAACGGCCAGUGAUGAGGCUGUUAUCAAUGAGGGAGUUAGUGUCGUUGUGCGCGUCCGCCCUCUCUCCACAAAGGAGCGGGCAGAUGCGAGGGUGCACAACUGCAUUAAAUGCUUGCCAGACUGCGUCAUCAUUGACGGCAGCGCCCACGCACGGGCAUCCAUGCACGCGAGCCCGGCAGGACCAGCCUCGCAGCCGACGCGCGCCACAACUCGCCCAUAUCAGUUCUCUGUCGAUCAGGUUUUCAACACGCACGCCUCGCAGAUUGAGGUGUACGAGCAGUCGUGCAAGCGCAUCGUAGAGGGUAUCUUCCACGGCAUCAACGGCUCCAUCCUCGCCUACGGCGCCACCGGCUCUGGCAAGACGCACACCAUGUUUGGCAGCACAAUGAGCGCUGCGGGUAUUGUGUACCAGGCCGUCCAGGACAUCUUUGCUGAAAAGGAGCGACUGGAGGAAGAGGAGGGCAAGCGCGUGCGCAUCAAGUGCAGCUUUCUCGAGGUCUACAAUGAGGAUGUGUUUGACCUGCUCGCCAGGCCGGUGGGAGAAGGCAGCGGUGGCGCGAAAUCCUUGGCGAGCAGCGGUGCUGGUGCCUCGGGCCGAGAAGCGAAGCGAGUCCCUCUUCAGGUGCGCGAGGCACCCGACACGACGGCUUCUGCGUCUGCAGGCUUUGAUGCCGGUGAAGGCGGCGGUAUCAACAACGGCGGGCUGCACAUUCGCGGGCUUACACAUAUCUUCCCCGAGACGUUCGAGGACUUCGCCCGGAGCAUCGAGCACGGCCACACACAACGAUUCGUGGCCGCCACCGGGGCUAAUGCGCAGUCGAGCCGCUCGCACGCGAUCAUCACUGUCGAGGUAGAGGUGCGCCACAGUAAUACCUGCGCCAACGUUGGCGACGUGGGCUUUGCGUCGGCGGUGGAUGACGACGCCGAUGCGGCAGAGACAGCCACGGAGUUCUCGCCAACGAAGAAAGCGGCGAAGAGGAAAAAGAGGCCGUUGACGUCGACGGUCACUAUCGCGAAGAUUCAGUUCGCGGAUCUGGCGGGCUCUGAGCGCGCCGCCGCGACCAGCAAUACGGGCCUGCGUCUUCGCGAGGGCGGAAACAUUAACCGGUCGCUGCUAGCGCUCGGUGCGGUCGUGCAGAGCCUGGUGCAGCAGAAGGUGCGGCGGCGGCAGACAGGCGGCAAGGGCGGAGGCAAGAUCUUUAUUCCUUACCGUGGGUCCAAGCUGACACGGUUGCUGCGCGACAGCAUUGGCGGCAACUGCCGCACGCAGAUGCUUUUCUGCCUGAGCCCGAGCACGAAGCACACAGAGGAGACGGUGAACACGAUGAAGUUUGCGAUGAACGCGAAGGAGAUCCAGGUGGAGGCGCACCGCAACGAGUUCGCCGUCAACUCGAGUCAACUAGCCAAAACACAGGAGGCGCUCAUCGAGGAGCUGCGAGAGGAGCUUGCUCGCGCGCAGUCUGCUCUCGCCGCGUACACGAGUGGUCUCAGCGGCAACGACUCGAACAAUAGCAGCAGCGCCGAAGGGAACCAGUCUCAGCGUGCUGACGCGGUGCCGGCGACCGAGAGCAGCGUCGUUGGCAGCGAGAGUCCUUCGCUGACCCUGCACAUUCGACAGGGGGCGUCGCCAUCGACGUCGAACAGCCCUCUUGCUGCCCUCAGCACUGGCAAUCGCAGCCACAGUAGCCCUGCGCCCACACCAUCAGUGCCAGCCUUGCCCUCGUGGCCUGCCAAGAGCGCGCCGCGAGGCACUGUCACACCAUCUGCGGCAGCCGCCGGUGCAGCAGCGUCGUCGCCGUCCGUGAACGGAUGCCAGUCUCCCGUAUCGAUCGGUGGCGCCGACGUGCUGCAGGGCGGGAGCGUGCCGCGCCCGUCCCUCAGCAGCCGCACCGCUCGCCCGUCUGUCUUCUCGGAGACCACUCCGCUUUUCUCUGAGCUGGAGGCAAGGCUAAAAAACUUCUCUGCUCAAAAGGAAAGCCUCUACCACGAGGUGCGCGAGGCGCAGGAGCGCCAGCGUGAUAGGGAGACGCAGCUGCGAGAGCAGCAGUGGCGGCUUGCCACGUUUCUUGUCAGCGACGCCUCCGGCAGCCGCGCACGGGGGGAGGUGGACGGCAACGGCACCACCGGCAUUGGCGUCGCCGGCCUGCGCAAGAUGAUUUCGGCCAUGGAGGCGGAGCAGGCUCAGCAAGCACACCAGCUGACCGCGCUGACAGAGCGGCUCGACGACGCGGAUCGGCAGUUCGCCGCCACGCGGCAGGAGCUGCUGCGCGAGCGUCAGGGCACCUCGCUUGAGCUGCUGCUAGACAACGCGCGUCUGCGCCAAGGUUGCACGGAGGCCGAGUGCCUGGCCGCGCACUACCACCAGGAAUGCCGCUCGCUGCUCAACCGUCAGGCUGAAUACGCCGAAGCGCUGAGCAAGUGUGUCGAGGCUAUUCAGCGCCUUCGUCCGCACCUCGCCCAGCUGACCUCGCCAACGUCCUCCAUGAACGGCAGCAACAGUGGCAACGCCAUCGUGGCCGCGGUCGAGACGGCGAACGUGGCUCUCUUGUACGCGCUGCUGCCCACCGCGUCCACCGCGCAGAUGACGACCGUGUUCGAGUCCGCGUUGCACUCGACCGUGAAAUCGCCGCUGCAGGCGCCGCCGCUGAAAUCGGUCUCUGCCUUCUCCUUUCCUGCGCAGCCAAUGCCCUUUGCGCACCCGCCGCUGGCGCCGAGUCCGACGAACCGGGCCGGUCGCAGCAACAGCUGCAGUCCUCUUCGCGGCGGCGGGCCUGCCGGCACUCGUGGCUCGAAUCACCUCGCGGAGCAUUUCCGCGACCUGAUGGCCACCGCCGAGUCGAUGCAUCUCACCAGCAGUAGCGAGAGGGAUACGAGCGAAAACACAGAGGGGGUUCGCACGCGUCACGGCCAUCUCGUGCAGGCGGCUGACCGCACUAGUAGUCCGGAGCGGCGCCCUUCAACCCAGCAGGCAUGCACGAGCGAUGAGCCCCUUGGCCGGGCCCCCGCAACCGGCAACAAAAACGCCCCCAAAGCGUUCGGGCGCACGUUUAGUCUCACGGGCUUGACGCGAAACACAGCGACGGCGCCACCUGGAGGCCGCAAGAGGCGCCUAUGCCCGGUAGCAGACAAGACGUCGUCGAGUGGACCGGUCGGCGGACACGCGCCUCGGACCAUCAACGGAGCAGCCGCCAAAAAGAGCUUUGGUGGUGGCGCACUGCGCGCGCAAGCGCUCCAGCGGUCUGUCUCCGCCCCGCUCCCGUUUACUCGCUCAGCGUCACGCACACAAGGCCCAGCUGCUGGGCCAGCUCGCAAACCUAAGGCAGCUAGUGCCUCAGGCCCCGCCGCUGCAUCAUUGACGCGACGCCACGCUGGCGCACAGAACGCUACCCAGCAUCGGGCCAACAGGAAGACGCCCGUCGGCAGUCCCGGUGCCGGGCACACCACCACAGCUUCUUCCUUCGCCUUUGUGCGCAGCAACCAUGCGUCUGCGCUGCGGGCGCUUGCAUUCGCUAUGGACAGUGCAGACUCUAGCCUUAGAGGACGGUCGAACCGUCGCAGAGAGGUGAAUUCGUCACCGCCGACGGCUGCGCGGGCGUCUUCGGAGGCGACAGCGAACAGCGGCAGCAGUCGCAGCAUGCCGAACACCAACGGUGCCGCCAAGAGGAGGCAGAGCAGCAGCAGUACAGGCAACAAGUUCGCCGCCAUCAACCCGAUGCAAUCUUGCCCCGACGCAGACUGCAGCCCAUCACUUGCGCAGGCUCAGCAGGAGAGGAAGCGCACCAGCGGUGGCGCGGCGCCGCACCUGCUCGGUUUCGCACCUUCAUCAUCGUCGAAGUUUGAGCGCACCAGUAAGAAGGCAGGCAAACUUGCCCGAUCCCAGGCUGCAUUCGUUCCUGUUAGUACCCCUCGCGUGGCCGGGGCUUCAGGGGUCCUGCUGCAGCGCCGAUCGGAUUCUGCUACUGACACCGCGGCAACCUUUACCUCCGCGGGAAGCCCGUCUCGCAUCUCGUCCUCCAGCAGCGAUAGCAGCAGCCUCAACGUGAGCUGCGAGUCUGCGCCGUCACGCUACAACGUUUCGCCAGAGGGUCGAACUGCCACACCUGAGACGGGCGCGCACAAGACGAAAAAGGCUGCCAAUGGUCCACGAAAAAGCCAUGACAAAACCCCACAGCUGACGGUGGCGCGCCUGCUGGAGUGCGCGGCGGCGGCGGCGCCUGCGUUACCGCAGUACAACGCCACUUUGUCUCCGAACACACACGGUAGCGAUUGCGUGAACAAGGAGAACGGCCAACAGCCACUUCAGUCGCGCACGCGCACUUCCUUCACGGAUGACCUCAUGGUGAGUAUCAGCACAUGCUUCUCCGAUGGACUGUCUCCGAACAGUCGGGGACAAGUAUCCUCGAGCCACUGCUAGCAGCGCGCGAUAGUGGCACAGGACGUGAGUGAGUAUCGGGGUGAUGCACGGCUGUCCACUGCACGCGCUGGUCGUGCAACUGGUCCGCUUUUUUCCCUUUCCUCUCUCUUUUCAACUGCCUUCCUCCUGUCGUUGUUCCGGAGCACACAACGCUAUUCACGUGUGGCUCUUUAACAACGUCGGAAGUAUCCACCCUCUCCUCUUUCUCCGCCUUCACCUUGCUCACCUUCGAGUUCGCCGCUUCUUUCGUUGUUGUCGGUGUGUGUGCUUUCCGCCCAGAGAUUCGCUACACGUUUUCCUUUGUUUUUCUUUUUCUUCUGUGGAGGGCGGAGGCCGUACGCGCACGCAUUUCUGUUCAUGUUCUGUUUUUUUUUUUCCUUUCGCUUCUACUAGACCGAUGCGCGCUCCCUCCCCUCCCUCCGUGGUUGUGCUCGCUUCGCCCUCCCCCCUCCGGUGCAGUGUAUGGAAAUAUGGAGGGGGGCGGCGCGGAUAGAAAUGGGUGGUGGGGAGAGCAGGGAAAAAAGGGGGAGGUGUGCGUGUAUGUGUACAGUCUCUGAUCAUGUGGGCAGCAGGCCUGCGUCCUUGUUCUCCCUUUCUCUUCCUGUGGCUGCGAUGCCUCCCUCUCUUGUUGGUCGUUUGCAUGUCGUGCACACGUGUGGGUGUCUUGUUGCAUUUUUUUUUUUGCGGGCUCAACGCCCCUUCGUCCCACCACCACCACCACCACUGCAGCACAUGGGAAGCGCCUUCACAUACACACAUACACAUACACACUCGAACAUCGCUCCUCCUUUUUUAGAAUUGGAUGACUCCUCGCUUGUCUACCUGUCUGUCUGCCUCUCUCCCUGCGUACCGGUGCGUCAUACAUGGCACAGCCACACUUUAUAUUUCGCUGCUGAGCUUUCUUUCUGUGUGAGUUAUGUAUGGUGUGUGUCCAUCCGUCUGUGUUUGCGUUGGUUUUUGUUUUCGCCUUGCCAUGACACUUGUUGACGCGCACACGCGCUGGAGAGAGGCGAAGAGGCCCCCUCUUCCUCAAAAAAUAUAAAAAAUAUGGUCAUCCUGUAUACCGAAACGAGAAGGGAACGCAGAAACGUACUGUGCUGCCUGGGUAAGAGGCACGACACAUGCUCAGUGUUGCCUCUCGCGAAGAAGCCGAACGAUCGAACGAUGAGGGGCGGGCGUGGGUGUGGGCUAAGAGACGAUAGACGGAAUGUAAAGGCUCACGGAGUGGUGCAAAUACGGUCUCGGGGGAGCAAGAGGGACGGCGUGAGUAAGGGUACGGCUAUGAUCGCGAUAACUGCCGCGACGGAGUGUGUAAUAAAGCGCAAACAGGGGUAAGAUGAGGUGGGGGAGGGGAGGGAGGAGGAUGACAAAAUAAAUCAAACUUUUUUUUUGCUUUCUUUCUGUGUGUGUGUGUGUCUUUUCCAGGAAGAAGCGCGCCUUGCCGACCUCCUUCCUUCAUCCCUCCCCUCUCCCCUCCUCCCCUCCUCCCCUCCUAUCGCCACCCCCCUUUGUUUUUCUUUUUUUUUCCUUCUCUGGCUGUGGCCCAGUUGGGACUCUUCCAUCUCGUAUUAUGGUAACUUCCUUCCUCUACAUCCUGUCAACGGACAGAGCACAUUACCGGGUGCGUCUGCGUGGGUGUGGGUGAUGUGGUGCGCAUAGGCGUUUUCCUUCCUUCUUUUGCGUGCAUAUGUAUACGUGUAUGUGUACGUAGUGUGUGUAUGUGUGUCGUUUUUUUUUGGUGGCAAUCGUGGUGCUUUUGAUCUUUUCUUCCCUAAGUCCUGCGCUCAUCCCACUAACGAUGCAAGGCACAUAAAAGCGCUUGCCAACAUCUCCAACCAGAGCGUCACCACCGGCUGCGUCGCUGCUACAUGGAAAACAGAGAGGGGGAGGGGCCCUUGCGCCCUUUCUGAUGCCGAACAUUGCCGAUGGUGGUCCCACGCCCUCACUCCGCCCCGCCCUGUGACGCUGGCCAACAAUCUGUGCCAGCUUCUCGAGCGAAUUGCCUCGCGACGACUGCGCGGCCAUCUGGGAGACACGCUCCAACCACAGCAGUCCGUCUUCCGUCCCCACCGCUCCACCGCAGACCCCGUGGACUUGCUCCUCCACAAAGCAGUGCAGCGCGGGCCAGGCAUGAAGAUGGGAGCAGUGUCUGUGGACUCUACACUCGGAUGUUCGACGCGCUAGGCUAUGGCGCUGAAGAGGUUCAACGUCGACCCAUACCGUACUCGCAGGAUCAUGUGUUUCGCGGACGUUCGCCCCGCCUGUGUUUGCUUCCACACGG